rnacentral:rRNA from 1 species
UACGUAGGGACCAAGCGUUGUUCGGAUUUACUGGGCGUAAAGGGCGCGUAGGCGGUUUGUCAAGUCAGUUGUGAAAUCUCCGAGCUUAACUCGGAACGGUCAACUGAUACUGUCAAACUAGAGUACAGAAGGGGCAAUCGGAAAUUCUUGGUGUAGCGGUGAAAUGCGUAGAUAUCAAGAGGAACACCUGAGGUGAAGACGGGUUGCUGGGCUGAUACUGACGUGAGGCGCGAAAGCUAGGGUAGCAAACGGG